rnacentral:lncRNA from 1 species
UUAGAGAAUCCAUCCCCAGCUUGCUGAUGAUAGUUUCGAAUGCUAGAUUAUUCAAGUCUUCGAUCAACAUAUCUGCAAAUUGUAACGUUGGUAGUCAUGUAUGGAAUACAUAUUAGGCCACUGUCUAACUUUUAUUUCAUAAAAUGUCUAUUAAACUUGAUGUAUUUGGUUUUAUCGUAUUGUACUAGGUUAUGAUACUUACAACCAACUUAUUUUUAUAGUAUAGGCGCUUGGGGUCAUCCUAUUUGCUUCUUAAAUCUUCUAAAAUCCUUUUCAACCAUAACACCUCACAUACCCUUUGAACCAUGCUUGGAACUCUCACUCUACGCUCAAUAUUGCAACUAUAUUCUGUUUUUAAC